GCCCACCCCCCACCAAGGCUCUGCAUCACAUACACAAACACACACUGCAUUCAUACACACACACACACACUGCAUUCAUACUCACACACUGCAUUAUAUACACACACACACUGCAUUCAUUAUAUACACACACUGUAAAUAAAUAUUCAAUUAAUAUAAUUUUUUGGGGAUAUAAUUUUAUUUAGAAAUUUACCAGUAGCUGCUGCAUUUCCCACCCUAGUCUUAUA